UACGUAGGGCGCAAGCGUUAUCCGGAAUUAUUGGGCGUAAAGAGCUCGUAGGCGGUUUGUCGCGUCUGCCGUGAAAGUCCCGGGGGCUCAACUCCGGAUCUGCGGUGGGUACGGGCAGACUAGAGUGAUGUAGGGGAGACUGGAAUUCCUGGUGUAGCGGUGAAAUGCGCAGAUAUCAGGAGGAACACCGAUGGCGAAGGC
rnacentral:rRNA from 1 species